rnacentral:rRNA from 1 species
CGCCUUGCCAGCCCGCUCAGAACUCAAAGGAAUUGACGGGGGCCCGCACAAGCGGUGGAGUAUGUGGUUUAAUUCGAUGCAACGCGAAGAACCUUACCUGGUCUUGACAUCCCGGAGACCCUUAGGAAACUAGGGGGUGCUUCCAUCUGGAAGAAUCUGGAGACAGGUGCUGCAUGGCUGUCGUCAGCUCGUGUCGUGAGAUGUUGGGUUAAGUCCCGCAACGAGCGCAACCCUUGCCUUUAGUUGCCAGCAGUUCGGCUGGGCACUCUAAAGGGACUGCCGGUGUUAAACCGGAGGAAGGUGGGGAUGACGUCAAGUCCUCAUGGCCUUUAUGACCAGGGCUACACACGUACUACAAUGGCCGAUACAAAGGGCAGCGACACUGCGAGGUGAAGCCAAUCCCGUAAAAUCGGUCUCAGUCCGGAUUGGAGUCUGCAACUCGACUCCAUGAAGUUGGAAUCGCUAGUAAUCGUGGAUCAGCAUGCCACGGUGAAUACGUUCCCGGGCCUU